GGGAAGAGCUAAACGUGGAUGUUGAGGAUUACGACAGGAAAAGUGGAUGCCGUGGCAUGGGAGGAGAGGAGGGAGACUUUGUGGUUAGGGUUACUGUUUACUUUGCAUUUUCCUGAGGUGGUCUCUGUGCAGUUUGAUUUCUGGUUUUUAUUUUUAAGCUUUAUUUAAAUAGUUAACUGAUACCAAGGCAACCAAGCAGUAAGAAGUCUCCCCUUUUUACAGUAGUGUUAGAGUCUUCAGUGUUACUCCUACAGUCCAGGGGUAGGAGUGAGGUCUGGGCCUAGGUUUCUGUCAGAUGGAGAGGGGCACCUGUGCUGGCCACAGUGUGGCAGCCAGCAGAAGAGGUCUCAAGUGUGACCCCACCAGCUGCUCCUAGUUGUUUCUUUUCCAAAGAUAACAUGAAAAGAAGUGAUGGGGGAAAGGGGAGGAAUACAAUGAAAGCUUAGAUGGCGAUCUCAUGUGAUUGGGCCAUUUUAUUUUCCAGGUUGGCUCUUUACUUUGUUCUGUUAGCAGCUGUGUCUUUUUUGUGCACCACAAGGGGGAAUGCAUGUGGUAGGAGCUCUAGGACGGUUUUUGGAACAGUUAAAAUAUGGGAGUUUACUUUGGUGGCGUUUUGAAGUACUUUGAAAAAGGGAAGUUAAACAAGUUAACUUUUUAACUCGUUAGUUGGUUUAGAAGUGACCAUUGGGUCCUUCUGAUUACACACUAUGCUUCAUGCAUACAAUUUCCAUAUAACUUGAAUUUAAUAUUUUAAAACAAAAUCUUUUGAUUAAUCUAUUUUUUCAUGACCAUUGAGUUAUGUGUACUUUCUCUUACAUAUUAUGUUUGGUAAUUACACUGUGCAAUUCUACUUCCCAUGAGCCCUGUGCGUCCGUGUUUCUAGAAGCAGGUUCAUAGAGCAGGCGUUCCUUACUCAGAGGCUGGGCAGUGCAUUGCAUUGCUUUGAGAAAGUGAGGCAGGCAUACUCAUGAUGCUUCUUUUUAAAUAAAUUAAACAUUUCCACAAAAAUGUGACUUUUCUGUGACUACUUACUUAACUUUGAUUUAUACCCUAAUUUAUGUAGGGUUUCUAUUUCUGUUUCCAAAAUUACUUUCUUGUCUUGCUGAUUCAUGAAAUGAUAAAAUCAACUUUGAAUAAAUAUCUACUGGUAUGUUUCUC
rnacentral:lncRNA from 1 species